CACGUAGGGGACGAGCGUUGUCCGGAUUUAUUGGGCGUAAAGCGCGCGUAGGCGGCCCGGAAAGUCGGUUGUGAAAACCCGGGGCUCAACCCCGGGCCUGCAUCCGAAACUUCCGGGCUGGAGGUAGGUAGGGGAGAUCGGAAUUCCUGGUGUAGCGGUGAAAUGCGCAGAUAUCAGGAGGAACACCGGUGGCGAAGGCGGAUCUCUGGGCCUUACCUGACGCUGAGGCGCGAAAGCUAGGGGAGCGAACAGG
rnacentral:rRNA from 2 species